rnacentral:rRNA from 1 species
GGUAGCCUUUGGACUCGUCUGAAGGUGAGAGUGGCGAACGGGUGAGUAACACGUUGGUGACCUGCCCCAGAGAGGGGGAUAACCAUUGGAAACGAUGGCUAAUACCCCGGAUGUCAUUAUUGUUAGAGAGUAGUGACUAAAGCUCCGGCGCUCUGGGAGGGGCCUGCGGCCCAUCAGCUUGUUGGUAGGGUAAUGGCCUACCAAGGCGAAGACGGGUAGGGGACGUGAGAGCGUGGCCCCCCACACUGGUACUGAAACACGGACCAGAUACCUACGGGUAGCAGCAGCAAGGAAUAUUGCCCAAUGGACGAAAGUCUGAGGCAGCAACGCCGCGUGGAGGAUGAAGGCCUUCGGGUUGUAAACUCCUUUUCUGGGGGAAGAGAAAGGACGGUACCCCAGGAAUAAGUCUCGGCUAACUACGUGCCAGCAGCCGCGGUAAAACGUAGGAGGCGAGCGUUAUCCGGAUUUACUGGGCGUAAAGCGCGUGCAGGCGGCUUUUUAAGUCGGACGUGAAAGCUCCCGGCUCAACUGGGAGAGGUCGUUCGAAACUAGAAAGCUUGAGGGUGGUAGAGGAGAGUGGAAUUCCCGGUGUAGUGGUGAAAUGCGUAGAUAUCGGGAGGAACACCAGUGGCGAAGGCGGCUCUCUGGGCCAUUCCUGACGCUAAGACGCGAAAGCUAGGGGAGAGAACGGGAUUAGAAACCCCGGUAUUCCUAGCCGUAAACGAUGUCAACUAGGUGUAGGGGGUAUCC